rnacentral:rRNA from 1 species
GAUGAACGCUGGCGGCGUGCCUAAUACAUGCAAGUCGAGCGAACAGACUAGGCGCUUGCUCCUUUCACGUUAGCGGCGCACGGGUGAUUAACACGUGGAUAACCUACCUAUAAGACUGGGAUAACUUCGGGAAACCGGCGCUUAUAGCGCAUAAUAUUUUGAACCGCAUGGUUCUAUAGUGAUAGCCGGUUUUGCUGUCACUUAUAGAUGGACCCGCGCCGCAUUAGCUAGUUGGUAAGGUCACGGCUUACCAAGGCGACGAUACGUAGCCGACCUGAGAGGGUGAUAGGCCACACGGGAACUGAGACACGGUCCAGACUACUGCGGGAGGCAGCAGUAGGGAAUCGUCAGCAAUGGGCGCAAACCUGACGGAGCAACGGGGCGUGAGUGAUGAAGGGCCUCCGAUCGUAAAACACUGUUAUUAGGGAAGAACAAAUGUGUAAGUAACUGUGCACGUCUUGACGGUACCUAAUCAGAAAGCCACGGCUAACUACGUG